rnacentral:rRNA from 1 species
UACGUAGGGUGCAAGCGUUAUCCGGAAUUAUUGGGCGUAAAGAGCUCGUAGGCGGUUUGUCGCGUCUGCUGUGAAAACUGGAGGCUCAACCUCCAGCCUGCAGUGGGUACGGGCAGACUAGAGUGCGGUAGGGGAGAUUGGAAUUCCUGGUGUAGCGGUGGAAUGCGCAGAUAUCAGGAAGAACACCGAUGGCGAAGGCAGUUCUCUGGGCCGUAACUGACGCUGAGGAGCGAAAGCGUGGGGAGCGAACAGG